rnacentral:lncRNA from 1 species
UAUAAUUAACAGAGAACAACACAAGAGAUUUAUACUGGUUCACCCAAACAAGGGCUAGUCCAGUCCCGACCAACUGCCGGAAUUCACUCGCCUAAAGGUAAUGGCAAAACCUUAGAGUAUCAAGGAAACUCUUAAGAACCUCUCUAAGCUUUAAGGCUACUUCGCUUAGGAACCAGUCUUUUACGGGUAGACUCACACCUUAGAGUAUCAAGGGCACUCUUAAGAACCUCUAACUUUUACGGGUAAGUUAGUACCUUAGAGUAUCAAGGAACUCUUAAAAACCUCUCUAAGCUUUAAGGCUACUUCGCUUAGGAACCAGUCUUUUACGGGUAGACUCACACCUUAGAGUAUCAAGGGCACUCUUAAGAACCUCUAACUUUUACGGGUAAGUUAGUACCUUAGAGUAUCAAGGAACUCUUAAAAACCUCUGAAAUCUUUAAAGGUAGACUCGACCUAAGAGUUUUCCCGGAAACUCUAUAAAACCAAACUAGAGCUUUAUGGUUGAGCUCACAAACCUUCUCUCACACUUUGGUACUAUUGAGACAACCCUCUCAACCAAAGUGGACACACACAAGAGGUGAUUAGAGGAGUGGAAUAUUAAAGCAAACAACACUUCUUACUUGUAAAUGAACAAGAAGAUUAGAAGAAGAAGUUGGAGAGCUUUUGAAGCUNNNNNNNNNNNNNNNNNNNNNNNNNNNNNNNNNNNNNNNNNNNNNNNNNNNNNNNNNNNNNNNNNNNNNNNNNNNNNNNNNNNNNNNNNNNNNNNNNNNNNNNNNNNNNNNNNNNNNNNNNNNNNNNNNNNNNNNNNNNNNNNNNNNNNNNNNNCUUCACCCUUGGAUCUUCAAUGGAUGGCUCCUUGAUUUCUCACAUAAAUCCAAGCUUUGUCUUUGAUCUUAUCUUGAAUAGUGCUUUUCUUGGAUAGAGUUUGUUGGAGAAUCUUAUCUUUGUAUAAAUUCAAACUUGAAUAGUGUUUUGUCCCCUUGGAAUAUUAUACCUUGAAUAAAGUGUCAAAAGAUAAUAAUAAUAAUAAUAUUCAAGGUAAACAUGUAAUUAUUCCAAAUAAUAAUAUUCAAGGUGAAAAUGCAAUUCUCCCAAUUUGACUUUUAACUUUGACUUAAACCCUUAACUCAAAUGAUUAAUUAAUUAACUGGAGUUAGGUUUAAUAUCGAUUGACUUAUUUAACCCCUAUUGAUUAAUAGUGUAAUUAAGGUUUAAAUUGACAUGAUUAAAAUAUAAUCCUAUGUCGACAAUUUUGAUUCUACAUUCUCCCCCUUUGUCGAUGGCAUAUAUGUUUUAACUCAUGUCUAGUCAAUAUUCUAUUUUACCCUUAUGAGCAUGCUCCCCCUGAAUUAUUGACCCAUAAUAUUCAAUUUAAAAGCAGUGGAUCAUGCAUGAUUUCUCUCCCUUAAAACAAUAAGGUAUCGACAAAGUUAAAAAUAGAUACCUGUGAAGUAUCUCCCCCUUAAUGAUAGGACAUAUCUAAUUUGUGGAGAAAAUAAAAUUUCAUACCUUAAUGAGCUUUGAUCACAAAUUCGAUUUGUGUGGUUGACCAAAUGUGACGUCUUGCUUAUAAGAGCGUUAGUCCAUCAUAUAGGAGAAAUAACAUGUAAUUUAUGCUCAUUGAUAAACUAUUGGAUUGAAGCCAAUUUUGAUAUACAUUAUAAGGCAAGUAUGAUAUGAUAAUUUAAAUUGCCUUGUACUAAGAUCAUGCAAUGAAUAAUAAUCCAUGUGUGUGUUAUGGAUGAAGAUGAUCUUAACAUGUAUGGAUUAAAGAUUUUAUAAUGUUAUAAUCCAUAAGAUAUUAGUGAAUGAUAUAUAUAAAUCCAUAAUAUUCACUGAUUGCUUUAAGAAGAAAUUGAGCAUUUAAAAUCUAUGUCUUAGUGACAAAUAUAACCCUAACCCUAACCCUAACCCUAAAUAUUCACUAAGUUUUAAAAGAUUUAAAAUUUUCAUUUCAGUCCUUAAAGCCUUAGUAGUAAAACUUCACUUAAAACAAAAUUUCAUUUAAGCCCUUUGAAGUUAUGAUAAAUACUUAGAUUAAUACUUGAAAUAUAUCAUUUAAACCUUGGAAGUAUUAACUAAUUCUAAGCACUUUUCAAUUUGAAAACUUCAUGUAAAUAUUAAUUUUAAGUCCCUGAAGUUUUAACUAAAUAUUUAUUCACUGUAAAGAUAUCAUUUUGACCCUUAAGUUUUAGUGAAUCUAUUUAAAACUUAAAAGCUUCAUAAACGAUUUACGUUUAAGUCCUUGAAGUUUCACAAAACUUUAUAUUCACUAAAAAAUAUAAUUUUAAUCCUUAAGUUUCAGUGAAUCUGUUUAAAACUUAAAAACUUCAUAAACGAUUUACGUUUAAGUCCUUGAAGUUUCACAAAACUUUAUAUUCACUGAAAAAUAUAAUUUUAAUCCUUAAGUUUCAGUGAAUCUAUUUAAAACUUAAAAAACAAAAAACGAUUUACGUUUAAGUCCUUGAAGUUUCACAAAACUUUAUAUUCACUGAAAAAUAUAAUUUUAAUCCUUAAGUUUCAGUGAAUCAUUUUAAACUUCAAAAAUAAUUUAUGUUUAGGCCCUUGAAGUUUCUAGUUUUUACUUUAAGACUUUGAAAUAACAGUCGAUUAAUACUUCAUUAGAAUUUUAUUUUUAUACCUUGAAGUAUUAACUAAUAUCCAUGCAGCCCUCAAAUAUUUGAUGUUGCUGAUAUUAUGUUUUUCUUUAUGCAUGCAUACCCUUAUGUUUAUAAGCUUAGAUGAUUAAAAUCAUAAAACGAUUUUUCAUUUCAGUAGAAGGGGUGAUACAUGACAGAGUUGAUCUCAUAUUCAAUGAGACUACGAUCCAUGAAUGGAUCUUCAAAAUAACAGAAAAACAGACACAAAAUACAAGUACUUAAAACAUCAAAAUACUUCUUAGGGCAGAUGUAGUUCAGUCAUGGUGGUGCAUGGUUGGAAUGACCUUGGAGCUAAACUCAUGAAAUAAGUUUGCAAGCUCCAGGUUGUAUUCUCUCUCAACAUCUAGCUAUUGCCUUGUUAUAGAUACCAUCUCUUCCAGAUCUCCCAUUCCUUUCUCCAGCAUCCUUACUUGAUCCGAAUCCUUAUGAUUUCCUCAUUCAAAAACACGUUAGUAUUUUGUGAGUUUGGAUCAUAAGUAUUUCUCCAAGUCUUUUGGAAGGAGCUUGCAGUGAAUGGUUGAAUGUGAGAUAUGAUUGGAUGUGGGUAGAGUGGAAUCCCAAAGAACCCUGAACUAAAGAGUCUUGAGAGAAUCCUUGGGUAGUAGCGAGCUCCAGUGUUCUUGGUUGAUGUAGCCAGAUUGUGCAUGAUCAGUGAUACCCAGUUCACUCUGAUCUUUGACAGCAAGCAGUAGAUUGCUACUAAGAUCAAUGUUGAUGGUUCUUCUCUAUUUUCAACUUGAGGGUAUAUAUUGUAAGAGAUGAUCUUCAAAAAGAUUGAGGCUUCUGGUAUGAGCAUUGUAUUCAGAAUCUUAUCAGUGCUCUUAGGGUUAUACCUGUGGGUGAGAGUAUACCAGAGAAUCUCCCAGCUGCACUUAAAAGGUAGCUCAUCCAGGCUUUUGUAGUUUUGAAGCUUCACUCCGUUGUUGGGUAGAUUUAUCCAUAUUCCGAGUUGAUCAGCUCUUAGAAUGAGACAUAUUCCAUUUACCUUGGUGGUGAUCACUUGAGUACCUACUGUCUCAUACUUGAAAUUUGCAUAGAACUGAGCCAACUCGGAUUUAUAGAUCCUGAGCUGUCCUAUGUUCUCAAGAUAGCCCGUGAGCCUGUUGAAGUUUAGCAGCCCUUCAAUCACCUUGCAGUUGAGAGAUCUGAGCAGAACCGGUUCCUCAAAGAUCAUUCUUUGCUCAAGAAUGAGAUUAUAGGAAAACUUGGCUAUUGGAGAGAUCCAUGUUGGUGUUCCUUGGAACAUCUCUGAUACUGGAAUCUUUCUGGUGCGUUUCUUCCGGAUAGGAUUGCUGCUUGAAGGAUUGGGGUUGUAUACCGGACUGGAAGGACAGUCAGGUAUGAUUGUCAGUUCCUUCUCAGGAUUGAUUUCUUGAAUCAAUAUCCUUGGGAUAGUCGUAUGCUCAAAGGAGGAAGGUGAUAUGAGUUUGUUCUUCCUAUGCUUAAAUAGUAUUUUGAAUAAACCUCCUUUUUAGGUUUAAAGAUCUGUUCAGAUUAGCUGACAUUGCUUGUAGAUCUUUUCACGUGAUGAUCAAGACAGCUUUGUGUCUAACUUUUGGAUGGUUAGCAGCUUUAGGGUUUGUUUUUCAAUAAACCCUACUUGGUGGAUAUGAACAGAUUUGUCCUAAUUAGAUUUUUAGACAGAAGUUUUGUCUUUUCAGAUGUUUGCAAGAUCUGAUUUUAGAUAUGUUUUUCAUAUUUUCUAUAUAUAAUUUAUUUAAACACAUACCUUUUGUAGUAAUCGACGCAUUCCUGAUUUGCUUUAUCCUCGAUAAUUUUGGCAUUCCCUUUUUUUUUAUUUAAACUCUUGCAGAUGGUGAUUGAUGUGUGUAGUGCAGGUGCAAGAUUUGCUUCUACCCGAGCUUCUUGCAGGGUGUUGUCGUUGCUGUUCAAAUCACAUAUCAGGUAUGGUAUUUGUAGGAUGAGUGACUGAUUGACCUGGCUGUGAUGGGUUGAGUAUGGUGGCUGAAUUUUCAAUAUCGAGGUUGCCGGAAUGUGCAGGCAUGGGUUUUGACUUUCUUUCACCAAAGUCGAGAAUGUUUGGAUUUUCAAGAUAAAGAAUGAUUUGGCAUACCAAGUUUUGACAAUUGGCACGUUUGCCCAUCCCACCUGUUCUUAUAAUAGAUAUAUAGAUUUGGGUAUUUCAUGUGAAUUGUUAAUUUCGUAGUGACAUGGCAUGUUAGUCAACUAGUUUUAAGCAUAAGUCAAGUUGAUUAUCUUGUAUUUAGUAUACAAAACAUGCAAGUGAUUAGUGAUAUAUGUAUAAGAUUUAUAAUACAAGCAACAUGGCAUGAGUCACCCAAGAGAUUUAUACUGGUUCACCCAAACAAGGGCUAGUCCAGUCCCGACCAACUGCCGGAAUUCACUCGCCUAAAGGUAAUGGCAAAACCUUAGAGUAUCAAGGAAACUCUUAAGAACCUCUCUAAGCUUUAAGGCUACUUCGCUUGGGAACCAGUCUUUUACGGGUAGACUCACACCUUAGAGUAUCAAGGGCACUCUUAAGAACCUCUAACUUUUACGGGUAAGUUAGUACCUUAGAGUAUCAAGGAACUCUUAAAAACCUCUCUAAGCUUUAAAGCUACUUCGCUUAGGAACCAGUCUUUUACGGGUAGACUCACACCUUAGAGUAUCAAGGGCACUCUUAAGAACCUCUAACUUUUACGGGUAAGUUAGUACCUUAGAGUAUCAAGGAACUCUUAAAAACCUCUGAAAUCUUUAAAGGUAGACUCGACCUAAGAGUUUUCCCGGAAACUCUAUAAAACCAAACUAGAGCUUUAUGGUUGAGCUCACAAACCUUCUUUCACACUUUGGUACUAUUGAGACAACCCUCUCAACCAAAGUGGACACACACAAGAGGUGAUUAGAGGAGUGGAAUAUUAAAGCAAACAACACUUCUUACUUGUAAAGAUGAACAAGAAGAUUAGAAGAAGAAGUUGGAGAGCUUUUGAAGCUUUGGAAAGCUAGGACACUUGAGCACUUGAAAGCUUGGAAGCUUGGAGGCAAAAACGUGUGGGCAAGUGUGGAGUGAAAGCUCUUGAGUUUGCUUGUAGUGUGGUGAGUGAAAAUGAGGGGAUUAUCCUUCUAUUUAUAGCCUUGGCCACUCAAUGUCCACCCUUGGAUCUUCAAUGGAUGGCUCCUUGAUUUCUCACAUAAAUCCAAGCUU